GGAGCAUUGGGAUGUCGAGGUUCUUCGUCCUCCUCGGGGGACGAAGCUAAGAGGGAAUCCGGUGAGCCCGAACGAAGAUCGGGCGAUGCCGGAGCUGCCCCCGCAACUGUAAGCGGCGAGCCGCUGUCCAACAUGUCACUGAGGCCGGCCUCGGGAAGACGGACAGGAGCGACGACCCGCGAGCCAGGAGACCUGCCCCGGCGAACUGAAACGU
rnacentral:ncRNA from 2 species